AUAGGCACGGGCAACGGAGUGUCGCAACGGAUAAUAACUCAGGAUGAGGGGUCUGGAGCGUCAGGGCGACGAAGCACACAGCAUACCAGGACGGUCAACGUCGGAGACGUUAACAAGGAUAAAGGAACACGACACGGAGCGUUGUCGGCUGAAGGAAAAACAGGGUUGGUUGUAAGCGCACCAGGACGGUGGAUACCGAUGACCGGUUAAAAAGUCAGGAAAAAAGGCGACAGGUUUACCUGUCGCCUUUUUUCUUUACUUGCUU
rnacentral:sRNA from 1 species